GGGUGCUAACGUCCGUCGUGAAGAGGGAAACAACCCAGACCGCCAGCUAAGGUCCCAAAGUCAUGGUUAAGUGGGAAACGAUGUGGGAAGGCACAGACAGCCAGGAUGUUGGCUUAGAAGCAGCCAUCAUUUAAAGAAAGCGUAAUAGCUCACUGGUCGAGUCGGCCUGCGCGGAAGAUGUAACGGGGCUAAACCAUGCACCAGCUGCGGCAGCGACACUAUGUGUUGUUGGGUAGGGGAGCGUUCUGUAAGCCUGCGAAGGUGUGCUGUGAGGCAUGCUGGAGGUAUCAGAAGUGCGAAUGCUGACAUAAGUAACGAUAAAGCGGGUGAAAAGCCCGCUCGCCGGAAGACCAAGGGUUCCUGUCCAACGUAAUCGGGGCAGGGUGAGUCGACCCUAAGGCGAGG
rnacentral:rRNA from 1 species